UACAGAGGUCCCAAGCGUUGUUCGGAUUCACUGGGCGUAAAGGGUGCGUAGGCGGUCGGGUAAGUCUGGCGUGAAAUCUCCAAGCCUAACUUGGAAACUGCGUUGGAUACUAUCCGGCUCGAGGAAUGGAGGGGGGACUGGAAUACUUGGUGUAGCAGUGAAAUGCGUAGAUAUCAAGUGGAACACCAGUGGCGAAGGCGAGUCUCUGGACAUUUCCUGACGCUGAGGCGCGAAGGCUAGGGUAGCAAACAGG
rnacentral:rRNA from 1 species